GGCCGGGUGGUCUAGAUUGGUAUGAUUCUACAUUGGGGUUGUAGGGAUCGCGGAUUCAAAUUCCGCCCCGGUCACCA
rnacentral:tRNA from 1 species